ACGCUGGCGGCAGGCCUAACACAUGCAAGUCGAGCGGUAGAGAGAAGCUUGCUUCUCUUGAGAGCGGCGGACGGGUGAGUAAUGCCUAGGAAUCUGCCUGGUAGUGGGGGAUAACGUUCGGAAACGGACGCUAAUACCGCAUACGUCCUACGGGAGAAAGCAGGGGACCUUCGGGCCUUGCGCUAUCAGAUGAGCCUAGGUCGGAUUAGCUAGUUGGUGGGGUAAUGGCUCACCAAGGCGACGAUCCGUAACUGGUCUGAGAGGAUGAUCAGUCACACUGGAACUGAGACACGGUCCAGACUCCUACGGGAGGCAGCAGUGGGGAAUAUUGGGCAAUGGGCGAAAGCCUGAUCCAGCCAUGCCGCGUGUGUGAAGAAGGUCUUCGGAUUGUAAAGCACUUUAAGUUGGGAGGAAGGGUUGUAGAUUAAUACUCUGCAAUUUUGACGUUACCGACAGAAUAAGCACCGGCUAACUCUGUGCCAGCAGCCGCGGUAAUACAGAGGGUGCAAGCGUUAAUCGGAAUUACUGGGCGUAAAGCGCGCGUAGGUGGUUAGUUAAGUUGGAUGUGAAAUCCCCGGGCUCAACCUGGGAACUGCAUUCAAAACUGACUGACUAGAGUAUGGUAGAGGGUGGUGGAAUUUCCUGUGUAGCGGUGAAAUGCGUAGAUAUAGGAAGGAACACCAGUGGCGAAGGCGACCACCUGGACUGAUACUGACACUGAGGUGCGAAAGCGUGGGGAGCAAAC
rnacentral:rRNA from 1 species